rnacentral:rRNA from 1 species
UGGUUGCUUAGGAAAAGGAUAUAAGUUCUACCUUAAAAAUAUAAAGCACUAUAAGCCCAUCAAAUUUUUAAGAAUUAUUCAAUAAGGGUACAGCCUUAUUGAAAAAGGAAACAACCUAAAACUGCGGAUAAUGAUUAAUCUAUAUAAGGAAUUAAGGUUAAGUUGGCCUAAAAGCAGCCAUCUUUAAAAAAGCGUCAAAGCUUCACCUUUUUUAACCUCAAAUAAUACUAUUUUUUCAAAAUCCUGAAUUACUACUAAGCCAUUCUAUACUUUUAUAGAAAAGUUAAUGUUAGGACUAGUAACACAGAAUUAAUUCUCUUACAUGUAAGUCUAAAUCAACACGAAUAACUCCUUGAUAAUCACUCAGCCCUGAAAAAAAAGUAGCACCCCCUAACACUACAAAAAUCCUACUUAUAUAACUGUUAACCAAACACAUGAACAUGAAAGAAAGAUAAAAAAAUUAGGAAGGAACUCGGCAAACAUAAGUCUCGCCUGUUUACCAAAAACAUCGCCUCUUGAGCUUUAUAAGAGGUAACGCCUGCCCAGUGAUUUAAUAUUUAACGGCCGCGGUAUUCUGACCGUGCAAAGGUAGCGUAAUCAUUUGUCUUUUAAAUAAAGACUAGUAUGAAUGGCAUCACGAGGACUUAACUGUCUCCCUAAUUUAAUCAGUGAAACUGAUCUUCCUGUGAAAAAGCAGGAAUAACUUAAUAAGACGAGAAGACCCUAUGGAGCUUAAAAUCUAUAUCUACCUAUAUCUUCUGUUAAUAAAAUACCACUAAUCUAUAGACUUAGAUAAAGUUUUUGGUUGGGGCGACAAUGGAGAACAAUUUAUCCUCCAUGAAGAAAAACUUUGAGUUACCACUCUUAGUAGUAGCAAGCCUAACUUAAAUUGAUCCAAACUUUUUGAUCAACGGAACAAGUUACCCUAGGGAUAACAGCGCAAUCCAUUUCAAGAGUUCAUAUCGACAAAUGGGUUUACGACCUCGAUGUUGGAUUAGGACAUCCUAGUGGUGCAGCCGCUACUAAGGGUUCGUUUGUUCAACGAUUAAAGUCCU